UAAUAAUCCGUGCUUCAAAGGGCUGGAGUAAAAAUCAAAUGAAGAUGGAUAGAGAGGAGCAUUUUCUGAACACCAGCGAUGUACAACCUCUGCUUGUGUGAAUGUUUAUGCAUAAUUUUUUUCCUGCCAUUUUCAUGCUGAAAGUGCAGGCAAAUUAUUAGACAAGAGGAAAGAAAUAAACGUGAGCAGGGCUUCUUGCACUUCCUGGAGACCAGGCUGAGACUUGCCGCCAGCACCCUGGAACCAGCUUCUUUGUGGUGGGCUCCAUCUGUCACCAGUGUGUCCUCCCAGACCCUCCCCUCCACCAACCAUUCAUUUGCAUAGGCGCCGUUGCUGUUGGGGAAGAUGAGAGAAAAGGACUUAAAGCUUCACCGUGAAGCAGAAUCCUCC
rnacentral:lncRNA from 1 species